GACGAACGCUGGCGGCGUGCCUAAUACAUGCAAGUAGAACGAGUUGCGAACGGGUGAGUAACGCAUCGGAACGUACCGAGUAAUGGGGGAUAACUGUCCGCAAGGACAGCUAAUACCGCAUGUUAUUCGAGCGGCCGAUGUCUGAUUAGCUGGUUGGCGGGGUAAAGGCCCACCAAGGCGACGAUCAGUAGCGGGUCUGAGAGGAUGAUCCGCCACACUGGGACUGAGACACGGCCCAGACUCCUACGGGAGGCAGCAGUGGGGAAUUUUGGACAAUGGGCGCAAGCCUGAUCCAGCCAUGCCGCGUGUCUGAAGAAGGCCUUCGGGUUGUAAAGGACUUUUGUCAGGGAAGCGGUACCUGAAGAAUAAGCACCGGCUAACUACGUGCCAGCAGCCGCGGUAAUAC
rnacentral:rRNA from 1 species